rnacentral:rRNA from 1 species
UGUAUGUUGGGUUAGUCCGCACGAGCGCACCCUUAUCCUUAUUUGCCAGCGCGUUAUGGCGGGAACUCUAAGGAGACUGCCGGUGAUAAACCGGAGGAAGGUGGGGACGACGUCAAGCCAUCAUGGCCCUUACGGGAUGGGCUACACACGUGCUACAAUGGCGUAUACAGAGUGCUGCAAUACCGCGAGGUGGAGCGAAUCACACAAAGUACGUCGUAGUCCGGAUCGGAGUCUGCAACUCGACUCCGUGAAGUCGGAAUCGCUAGUAAUCGUAGAUCAGAAUGCUACGGUGAAUACGUUCCCGGGCCUUGUACACACCGCCCGUCACACCAUGGGAGUGGGAUGCAAAAGAAGUGGCUAGUUUAACCUUUCGGGGAGGACGGUCACCACUUUGUGUUUCAUGACUGGGGUGAAGUCGUAACAAGGUAACCCUAGGGGAACCUGGGGUUGGAUCACCUCCUU